AGAAGAAGACGCCGGGCGGCAGAAUCGUCUUGCUGUGAGGCGACGGUGCUAACCACUGCAUCACAGGCUCAGUCCAGAGCUCCACCUCUGACAAAUGACACUACAAUCUGCACGCUUGCCCCGCUGCUCCACCGUAUACUCUUUGGUGGAGGAGUCACUGUCGCUGUGUCACUGCAUUUCAUCAUCGGAGGAGGAGGACUCACUCGAUUUGCUUCAGGUGAGCCGACAUUAGUCUCAGGUGCAGGAGGUCACAUCGAUACAUCGCUAUUAAAAUGAGUUGACUUCCUGACAG